CCUACGGGUGGCAGCAGUCGAGAAUCAUUCACAAUGGGGGAAACCCUGAUGGUGCGACGCCGCGUGGGGGAAUGAAGGUCUUCGGAUUGUAAACCCCUGUCAUGUGGGAGCAAAUUAAAAAGAUAGUACCCCAAGAGGAAGAGACGGCUAACUCUGUGCCAGCAGCCGCGGUAAUACAGAGGUCUCAAGCGUUGUUCGGAAUCACUGGGCGUAAAGCGUGCGUAGGCUGUUUCGUAAGUCGUGUGUGAAAGGCGCGGGCUCAACCCGCGGACGGCACAUGAUACUGCGAGACUAGAGUAAUGGAGGGGGAGCCGGAAUUCUCGGUGUAGCAGUGAAAUGCGUAGAUAUCGAGAGGAACACUCGUGGCGAAGGCGGGUUCCUGGACAUUAACUGACGCUGAGGCACGAAGGCCAGGGGAGCGAAAGGGAUUAGAUACCCGAGUAGUC
rnacentral:rRNA from 1 species